rnacentral:lncRNA from 1 species
UUUCCCAUCGGUAGAUCGGCGACACUCGUCACCGGCCACCGCGCACAAACGCACGGGGGAAAGAGGAAGGAAGGGAGGAAAAGGAGGGAAACUUACCUUGACCUCCGGUGACUUCGUCGGAGAGAAAACACGGCGAGAAACCCAACUAUGCCCGCGGCUCUUCUUCGGGAAAAACGGAGAGAAAGAGAGGGAGAAGAGGCCGAUGGAUUGAUUCCAAAGAGAGGAGAGACCUUCUUAUAGAGGGUCCUAGGAUUUCGAGGGAUCCUAGGACUCCUAAAGUCCCUGGGUCUCGCCGGAGAAGAAGACUCCUACCGGGAGUCUUCUUCCCGGUUUAACUCUAUUUUUUUUUUUUUUUUCAUUUUGGGCUUUUGUGGGCUGUAAUGGGUUUGGGCUAUAACAGU